GACGAACGCUGGCGGCGUGCUUAACACAUGCAAGUCGAACGGAAAGGCCCUGCUUUUGUUGGGGACUCGAGUGGCGAACGGGUGAGUAACACGGGAGUAACCUGCCCUUGACUUGGGGAUAACUUCAGGAAACUGGGGCUAAUACCGGAUAGGAGCUCCUGCUGCAUGGUGGGGGUUGGAAAGUUUCGGCGGUGGGGGAUGGACUCGCGGCUUAUCAGCUGGUUGGGGGGGUAGUGGCUUACCAAGGCUUUGACGGGUAGCCGGCCUGAGAGGGUGACCGGCCACAUUGGGACUGAGAGACGGCCCAGACUCCUACGGGAGGCAGCAGUGGGGAAUAUUGCACAAUGGGGGGAAGCCUGAUGCAGCAACGCCGCGUGCGGGAUGACGGCCUUCGGGUUGUAAACCGCUUUCGCCUGUGACGAAGCGUGGGUGACGGUAAUGGGUAAAGAAGCACCGGCUAACUACGUG
rnacentral:rRNA from 1 species